rnacentral:rRNA from 1 species
UAAUACAGAGGGUGCAAGCGUUGUCCGGAAUCACUGGGCGUAAAGGGCGCGUAGGCGGCCUGAUAAGUCGGGGGUGAAAUUCUGCGGCUUAACCGCAGGACGGCCUUCGAGACUGUCGGGCUUGAGCACGGUAGAGGCUGGUGGAAUUCCCGGUGUAGCGGUGGAAUGCGUAGAGAUCGGGAAGAACAUCGGUGGCGAAGGCGGCCAGCUGGGCCGUUGCUGACGCUGAGGCGCGACAGCGUGGGGAGCAAACAGGAUUAGAUACCCUGGUAGUCCACGCCGUAAACGAUGGGUACUAGGCGUCGGGGGGAGCGACCCCUUCGGUGCCGUCGCUAACGCAGUAAGUACCCCGCCUGGGGAGUACGGCCGCAAGGCUG